rnacentral:rRNA from 1 species
UAUUAAGAUAUUAAGGGCUAUAGGCGGAUGCCUUGGCAUUAACAGGUGAUGAAGGACGUGCUACCUGCGAUAAGCGUCGAUGAGCUGGAAGAAGCUAUGAAUCGACGAAUUCCGAAUGGGGCAACCCCAUAGCAGUAAUGUGCUAUGAUAUAUAACUGAAUACAUAGGUUAUAUAGACAAACCCGCUGAAGUGAGACAUCUCAGUAAGCGGAGGAAAAGAAAUCAAUUGAGAUUCCCUCAGUAGCGGCGAGCGAAAUGGGAACAGCCCAAACCUGGAAACUUGUUUCCGGGGGUAUGGACAGCGAUAUGAGAAGUAAUUUUUAGCAGAAUUUUUUGGAAAAUAAAACCACAGAAGGUGAAAGUCCUGUAAGCGAAAAAAAGAAACAAUCUAGCUGUAUCCUGAGUAGGUUCGGACACGUGAAACCCGGACUGAAGAUGGGGGGUCCUCCCUCCAAGGCUAAAUACUCGUUAAUGACCGAUAGUGAACUAGUACCGUGAGGGAAAGGUGAAAAGAACCCUGAGAAUGGGAGUGAAAUAGAUCCUGAAACCUAUAGCCUACAAGCGGUCAGAGCCCCAUAAGGGGGUGAUGGCGUGCCUUUUGUAUGAUGAGCCAGCGAGUUACGUUGUGCGGCAAGGUUAAGAAGUUACACUUCGGAGCCGAAGCGAAAGCGAGUCUGAAUAGGGCGUUUAGUCGUAUGACGUAGACACGAAGCCUAGUGAUCUAUCCAUGGCCAGGUUGAAGCGUCUGUAAGAGGAUGUGGAGGACCGAACCAGUACACGUUGCAAUGUGUUUGGAUGAGCUGUGGAUAGGGGUGAAAGGCCAAUCAAACUAGGUGAUAUCUUGUUCUCUCCGAAAUAUCUUUAGGGGUAGCCUCGAAAUACUAUUUUACGGGGGUAGAGCACUGAAUUUCCGAGGGGGUCUAACCCACCUACCAACGAAAAUCAAACUCCGAAUACCGUAAAAACUACUUCGGGAGUCAGACUGUGGGGGAUAAGCUCCAUAGUCGAAAGGGGAACAGCCCAGACCAUCAGUUAAGGCCCCAAAUUAUAUGCUCAGUGAGUAAGGAAGUGAAAAAUCAUUGACAGUAGGGAUGUUGGCUUAGAAGCAGCCAUCAUUUAAAGAAAGCGUAACAGCUCACCUAUAGAGAUUUUUUGCGCCGAUAAUUUCCGGGACUAAGCAUAUAGCCGAAACUAUGGAUUCAUAAUUAUUAUGGAUGGUAGGAGAGCGUAGUAUACUGCGUCGAAGGCAGUCUGUGAGGACUGCUGGAGCGUAUACUAGUGAAGAUGCUGGCAUGAGUAACGAUAAAGGAAGUGAGAAUCUUCCUCGCCGUAAAUCCAAGGUUUCCCGGGUAAAGAUCGUCUUCCCGGGGUUAGUCGGUCCCUAAGCCGAGGCGGAAACGCGUAGGCGAUGGGAAUCAGGUUCAAUAUUCCUGAACCACCGAAUGCUAUGGAGAUGGAACGACGAAGUUGUAGAAAUGAUGCGGAUAACGAGUAUAUCCGUAGUUUAGUGCUCCUGACUGAUAGGCAAAUCCGUCAGUGUAAUGGGGAGCUAGAUUCAAGGGGAAUUGAAAAACCGAUGAUCAUAGAUACAUCUUCCAGGAAAUAGUUUCUAUCCGCAAUAGGUGACCGUACCGCAAACCGACACAGGUGGAUGAGAUGAGUAUUCUCAGGCGCGCGAGUCAACUCUCGUUAAGGAACUCGGCAAAAUGUUCCUGUAACUUCGGGAUAAAGGAAGCCCUCUGUUGUGAAGAGACUUGUUCUUGGAGCAUCGGAGGGCCGCAGAGAAUAGACCCAGGCGACUGUUUAUCAAAAACACAGGUCCAUGCAAAGUCGCAAGACAACGUAUAUGGACUGACGCCUGCCCAAUGCCAAAAGGUCAAAAGAAUUUGUUAGUCUUCGGACGAAGCAAUGCAUUAAAGCCCUGGUGAAUGGCGGCCGUAACUAUAACGGUCCUAAGGUAGCGAAAUUCCUUGUCGGGUAAGUUCCGACCUGCAUGAAUGGUGUAACGAUCUGGGUGCUGUCUCAACGAGAGGCUCGGUGAAAUUGUAGUAGCGGUGAAGAUGCCGUUUACCCCCCACAAGACGGAAAGACCCCGUGAACCUUUACUGUAUUCUGGUAUUGUCUUUCGAAAUUACAUGUGUAGGAUAGCCAGGAGGCUUCGAAGCUAGUUCGUCAGGAUUAGCAGAGCCAUCCUUGAAAUACUGGCCUUGUACUUUUGGAAGUCUAACUUCACUCAGUGAAACCUGAUGAAGGACCGUGCCAGAUGGUCAGUUUGACUGGGGCGGUCUCCUCCUAAAAGGUAACGGAGGAGUUCUAAGGUACCCUCAGCGCGGUUGGUAAUCGUGCAAAGAGCAUAAUGGUAUAAGGGUGCUUGACUGCGAGACUGACUAGUCGAGCAGAUGCGAAAGCAGGACAUAGUGAUCCGGCGAUAGAAUGAGGUAUCGUCGUCGCUCAACGGAUAAAAGGUACUCCGGGGAUAACAGGCUUAUCGCUUCCAAGAGUUCAUAUCGACGAAGCGGUUUGGCACCUCGAUGUCGGCUCAUCACAUCCUGGGGCUGAAGCAGGUCCCAAGGGUUUGGCUGUUCGCCAAUUAAAGUGGUACGUGAGCUGGGUUCAGAACGUCGUGAGACAGUUCGGUCCCUAUCUGUGGGGGGCGUAGGAUAUUUGAGAGGACCUGUCCCUAGUACGAGAGGACCGGGAUUGACAAACCAAUGGUGUAUCGGUUGUUCUACUAAGAGCACUGCCGAGUAGCUAAGUUUGGACGAGAUAAGUGUUGAAAGCAUCUAAACGCUAAGCUCACCUCGAGAUAAGAUAUCCCAUGAGAUUCCAUGUAGAACACGUGGUUGAUAGGCAAGAUGUGUAAGCACAGCAAUGUGUUCAGCUGACUUGUACUAAUAAUCGAUCGUCUUAAUAAU